rnacentral:rRNA from 1 species
UACGUAGGGUGCAAGCGUUGUCCGGAAUUAUUGGGCGUAAAGAGCUCGUAGGCGGUUCGUCGCGUCGGCUGUGAAAUCCCGAGGCUCAACCUCGGGUCUGCAGUCGAUACGGGCGGACUGGAGUUCGGCAGGGGAGACUGGAAUUCCUGGUGUAGCGGUGAAAUGCGCAGAUAUCAGGAGGAACACCGGUGGCGAAAGCGGCUUCCUGGCCCGACACUGACGCUCAUGUACGAAAGCGUGGGGAGCAAACAGG